UACGUAGGGGGCAAGCGUUGUCCGGAUUUAUUGGGCGUAAAGAGCUCGUAGGCGGUUUGUCGCGUCUGCUGUGAAAACCCGAGGCUCAACCUCGGGCCUGCAGUGGGUACGGGCAAACUAGAGUGCGGUAGGGGAGAUUGGAAUUCCUGGUGUAGCGGUGGAAUGCGCAGAUAUCAGGAGGAACACCGAUGGCGAAGGCGGCACUCUGGGACGGUACUGACGCUGAGACGCGAAAGCGUGGGGAGCGAACAGG
rnacentral:rRNA from 1 species